rnacentral:sRNA from 1 species
ACCAUACAACAGUUCUGUGUCGCAACGAUCCCUUCCUCCUUCAUGGGAGUGGUCGGUUGAUUGUUGCGACGAUUCUCGACUCAUCGCGUGGAGAUAUUAUUGCACCUCCGUUAAUGUCUUUCUUCCCAGUCGACAGAACUGAGAUCAACCCGAGACCUUUUCGUCCGCUUCGAGAGAAGGGGACCGGUCUGCCUUGAACUCAUCCUGAGACAAAAGCCGUUGCAGCUCGCCUUCUUCGGAGGGCGAGUUCCGGCUUUUCGAACGGGGUUUGCAGUUCGGCGGGCCGUAAGGUGUGUAGGGAGACGUCUUAUUCCCAGGCGUGGUGUGAUCCUCGUCGAGGAAUGAUCACCGGGCAAAACCAAGACUAUUGUCUACAUCA